rnacentral:rRNA from 1 species
UACGAAGGGGGCUAGCGUUGCUCGGAAUCACUGGGCGUAAAGCGCACGUAGGCGGCUUUCUAAGUCAGGGGUGAAAUCCUGGAGCUCAACUCCAGAACUGCCUUUGAUACUGAAGAUCUUGAGUCCGGGAGAGGUGAGUGGAACUGCGAGUGUAGAGGUGAAAUUCGUAGAUAUUCGCAAGAACACCAGUGGCGAAGGCGGCUCACUGGCCCGAUACUGACGCUGAGGCACGAAAGCGUGGGGAGCAAACAGG